GGAUCACAGUUAUCCCUCUUCAUUUCACACCACAUUCUCACGAUUCCACAUUCAUCCCCUCUGAAUGCUUCAUCGGCGGCGCUAUCAACCUUGCACUGUCGUCUCACCGAACCUCCAUUGCACUCAACUUCCAUCGGCCUUGCUCGCAUCGCUCCCUUCCGUCGCACCCCUUCCCGGUUCUUCUCCGUCGCACCCCUUCCGUCGGCCUUGCUCGCAUCGCUCCUGUUCGAACCAUAAUGUGCGUUUCUCUCUUCGAUCUCGCCACUAGUGCUUGCUCUUUUCCGUGUGUUGCUGCGUUUCUCUCUUCGAUCUUGCCUCAGCUGUGCAGGUUUUUAUUGAUUCACAGUGUCUCAGCGAUUGAAGACUAGUGUCCAUGUUAACUUGGUCUUCCAUAUAGAACUGAGAAUCAAGAUGCUAUAGAUGCCGCAAUUGUUGGUAUGCUUGCUGAUCCAAAGGAGGCAAGAGCUGGAAUUAGGGAGGUCCAUUUUUUCCCUUUCAAUCCUGGAGACAAGAAGACUGCUCUAACUUACAUUGAAUAUGAUGGAAAUUGGCAUAGAUCCAGCAAAGGUGCUCCUGAGUAGAUAUUAAACCUCUGCAACUGCAAAGAGGAUGUGAGGAGAAAGGCUAUGCAACUAUUGUUAAGUUUGCUGAGCGUGGGCUUCAAUUUUUGGGAGUUGCUAGACAGGAAGUACCUGAAAAUCCAAAAGAUGCUCCUGGUGCAUCAUGGCAAUUUGUUGCGCUGCUACCUAGCAUAACCCCUCAAAGUUAGACGUAUCACCUGCUGCGACAUGGCGAGGUUGGUUUGGAUUCAAAGCAUCCCAGAGCUAUUGUGCUUUGUGCUACGGAGGAGAAAGCUAAUGAGUGUUUUAGUGCUGCAAAGUAUAUCAUGGAGAUUGCGGAAGCAAAGUUGGCAAAGCAACGUUCUUGUGAAUUUAUCUUGUUAUGACAGGUUUUGGGUGAUGAAUCCCCCAUUGUGAAGCAUCUUGAGCGUGAUCAUGCUGAAAAUAUUUAUGUAAUUGAUAUUGGUUUGGUAAUCUGAUGGAUAUGAAAUUGAUGACUGCAUCUGAAGAUAUUUAUGUAAAGAUGGCAGGGAAAGAUGUAGAAGCAAUUGUACAAAAAAGAUUGCCCAAGUUCAAGAAAAAGAAGCAAAAGAUUACCUCUGCUAUAAUCUGGGUGCUGUCUUCUGGAAUUUUGAUCUUAUGCUUGGCCAUCAUCAUUUAUAGAUGGGAGAUUCGUAAAAAAGGAAAGAUAAAAGAGAAAAGAGAAUCAGAUGCAAUAAAUAGUCAGCAUGAUGAGGAAGAUCUAGAAUUGCCCUUAUUUGGUAUAGAUACGGUUACUUCUGCAGCAAACAAUUUUUCAACUGACAACUUAUUAGGAAGAGGUGGUUUUGGACCAGUUUAUAAGCUUAAUGUGAAGAAAUUGGAAGUUGAGAUUUCAAAUAAAGACAUGAAUUUGUCUCCUAUAUUGAAGUCAAUCAAGGAGCUUGAGAAAGCAGCAAUCAAGAUAAAUGACCAGAGAAAGUAAAUAGAAGCAAGUAAAGGUUGGAGAAUAUGGAAAGAGUACCAAAUGAAAGUGAGAGAUGUGAAUGAUAGACUUAUGAUGGCUGAACGUGCAUUCACUGACAGAGAUGGUCUCUUAGGAAUGACAUGGCAUAAGCAUUUGGGUUCUAACUUCUAAGAAAGAUGAAAUUGAAGAAACCAAGCAAGCAAAGCAGAGAAGAAACAUCAAACAUGGCUGCUACUGUUGGAAUCACAGAAUUUAUUGGAGUAGAGAUGAUAGAGAAGGCAAUUUCUUAGUAGAUGAAGCUAUUUUGUCCAAGCUAAAGUCAAAGAAGGCAAAGGUCCUUGUUGAGGUAAAUCUAUAUUGUGCCCUUUAAUUUAAACAAUGCGAACCUGGUUGCGACUCAACAAAAGACUGGCUGCAAUUUUCUCAGCUAACUUGAAAACCAAAUGGAAGAACUUGUAUAUUGCAAUGCUGAUGUGGAGUUUAACUUGAAGCUAAGUGGCCACACACAACCACAAGGAGAUCCAGGAGGUGUAUUUGUCAAUGGCUCUGAGCAAGUCACCAUCAUGCAAUCUAAAAGGAAUAGGAUCAAUAUAAAAUCUUGUUUGUUUAAAUUGUUGAAAAUGAAGGAACUAGUAGUGUCAAUGAGUAAUGUAAAUAGUUAUAGUUUUGUCAAUGGUUUAUUUUUUUGGGUAUCUUUUUAUUGAGAUAGUGAGAUAUUGGCCAAUGAUGUUGAAAAAUAACAUCCAAUUUUAUAGGUAUCAUGUAAUGAAUAUUAUGUUUA